CGACCAGUCACACGGGCACUGAGACACGGGCCCGACUCCUACGGGAGGCAGCAGUAAGGAAUAUUGGUCAAUGGACGAAAGUCUGAACCAGCCAUGCCGCGUGAAGGAUGACGGCCCUCUGGGUUGUAAACUUCUUUUAUCUGGGACGAAAAAAGGGCUUUCUAGCUCACUUGACGGUACCAGAGGAAUAAGCACCGACUAACUCCGUGCCAGCAGCCGCGGUAAUACGGAGGGUGCAAGCGUUAUCCGGAUUUACUGGGUUUAAAGGGUGCGUAGGUGGGUAGGUAAGUCAGUGGUGAAAUCUCCGAGCUUAACUCGGAAACUGCCAUUGAUACUAUCUAUCUUGAAUAUCCUGGAGGUGAGCGGAAUAUGUCAUGUAGCGGUGAAAUGCUUAGAUAUGACAUAGAACACCAAUUGCGAAGGCAGCUCACUACGGGAUUAUUGACACUGAGGCACGAAAGCGUGGGGAUCAAACAGGAUUAGAUACCCUGGUAGUCCACGCCCUAAACGAUGGAUACUCGACAUACGCGAUACAUUGUGUGUGUCUGAGCGAAAGCAUUAAGUAUCCCACCUGGGAAGUACGAUCGCAAGAUUGAAACUCAAAGGAAUUGACGGGGGUCCGCACAAGCGGUGGAUCAUGUGGUUCAAUUCGACGCAACGCGAAGAACCUUACCU
rnacentral:rRNA from 1 species